rfam:Triticum aestivum genome assembly, contig: Triticum_aestivum_CS42_TGACv1_scaffold_201299_3AL
CAAAUACUCCCUCCAUCCGAAAAUACUUGUCAUCAAAAUGGAUAAAAGGAAAUGUAUCUAGACGUAUUUUAGUUUUAGAUACAUCUCUUUUUAUCCAUUUUGAUGACAAGUAUUUUUGGACGGAGGGAGUAGAAA